GGGGUGUUUAACUGAAGUGUUUGGCUGCAGCACCAUAGGUUAUGCUCUAUUUUCUUGUGUUUAUUUUGGAUAUUCUUUCUAUCAUGCACACAAACACAUACAUAUAAGAAUAGUUGAGAUGGGCUCUCAAAUGGGACAGGGGGACCCCUGCAGAUGGAGGUGGGCGUUACAUCCGCCCAGUGAGUCAUCAGUGCUAAAUUUACCAAAAUUGCUCGCUCACACAUUCUCACAUGCAAAAACACACUUAGAAUUGUUUUUAUCAUCAUUGUCUUUAUCAUUAUCACCAUCACAGGCUUCUACCACUACAUCAACUUUCCCACAUGGUCAAACACAUGGGAAGAAGAUGAGGUCAAAACUUGUAACCUUUCUGAUACAUCUAUCUUACAACAUCAAAGCAUGCCCUCCUCACCAUGAGCCCCUGUUCCCAUAGAAACAGAACAGCUGGACUGUCAGACCAGGUGUGUUUGACUGACGGGGUCUCACUAAGCUGUCCCAGGAGUGGAACUGGCGGCGGAACCCUGCAGUCUUUUGAUCGGUGAAUGGAGCGGUCAGCAAGGGGCAGUGGAGAAACUCACCGCAGAAGAGGAGAGGAAAUUAAAUCAGCGGGAUACACAGGUUUGGGGCAGAUCCAAUGAGUGCCAAGUGCAAACUAAUUUAAUUGUGUGUGGGCUGCUGUCCCUUGAUGCCCGGCCCAGACCAACCACCCCAUGACCUUCACGACCCUACAGCCUGCCAUAGGGAGACAGCAGUCUGCUGCAAGAGGCAGCCGGGAACACACUUGAGCUCCCUCCGGUGGCCGGGCACAGAAUGUUUUGAGGACUCACACUGCUCCAGUAGGACAUGUGACCAGAUGAAUUCCACCAAAUGGCAUCACUUAAUCACCAGCUUUCCCUUUAUAUCCAAUAAAAAGCAGCAGGUGACUUUGCUAUGUAUUCCUAUAAGAGAGACUGUGAAGUCACCAUCCGCCGCCUCCUUUUCUCACUCACGUCAGGACACGUUACUGAGAAAGCAAGUGGAAGAUCAGAAUAAAAGAUUCGGCAUCUGAAACCGUUAACUGAAAACCGUUCAUUUUUCAUACUCACCUUUAUUCGUGGAGUAACUAACACACUUAUUGCAGAGAUUUGCCUGCGCUUGAUUCCUGUGAUUAACAGCUGAUUCAGCCGUUGACCUGCGCUGUGCACAGCUGUGGCCUGAGCCCAGCCAAUCAGAGCUUAAGUGGGCCAUGUGUUCAGGGUCAAGACAGACCCGGCCCAGCGGCUGAGAGGCCACCAGCUGCCUUCAGCUGGAGAACCAGCCAGAGAGAGAGCCUGCUCUGUGUCCUUAAUGGAUGCCUUAUAGCAAGUAAUGCCUAGCUUACCAUAGUGAAUUUAUAAUCUUGCUGAACAAAUCUUUUUGUCAUGAUAAAUUAUGUGUUCUGUAUGGAAAUUAUGAGGAUUUUGGAAAAAAGAUUUGGCAAAUGUAUUAGUCCUGUUUUGUUAUUGUGUAUACCCACUGAUGUGCUUCAUAAUGUGCAUAAGAGGAGUUACGGAGUAUGAGUGUGUUUGUGUGUUCAGGAACCAACCGACUGGCAGGGUGUCAAAAACAUAACAGCAGUCCUAAAGUAAUAUUUUGCACGCAAACUGAUCCAUGCCAUCUUCAUCUCCAGUAGCAAGUUUUCGAAUAUUUCAGCUGCUUAUGUGUAUAUGGAGGACAGACAUCAUGGUUGUUGAUACUGCAGUCACUCCUGUCUCCCAUUGGAUGGACAUACUUUCUUACAUCUCUUCUCUGUGAACUUUAAUAAAAACUGUAUUCCCCUGAUCUGUACGUCUGGA
ensembl:lncRNA